GACGAGCCUCACAAACGUUAUUCGGAAUUACUGGGCUUAAAGGGUGCGUAGGCGGUGCGGAAAGUUGGGUGUGGAAUCCCUCGGCUCAACCGAGGAACUGCGCUCAAAACUGCCGUACUCGAGGAAGAUAGAGGUGAGCGGAACUUACGGUGGAGCGGUGAAAUGCGUUGAUAUCGUAAGGAACACCCGUGGCGAAAGCGGCUCACUGGGUCUUAUCUGACGCUGAUGCACGAAAGCUAGGGGAGCAAACGGG
rnacentral:rRNA from 1 species